AGACAACAUAAAAGCACUUUAUGGGGCUCUGUUUCCACAGUGUAUGGAGCCCAGGAGUACCUAAUUUUUUUAAAAAAAAAUUGGGAGAAAACAGAAAGAUGGGGAAAGGAUGUGGGAUUGCUGGCCAUCCCAGAAGAUGGACCUUGGCAGUGGGGAAUGAGACUGGCACCACCAUCCAUUUUUUUUCUGUACUUGGUGGCACAGGGAAAAGGGGAAAAUUCAGGCCCGUGUCACCCUCCUGUUACUGAUGCUGAUGACCAUCGAGCCCCAGAGAUCUCCUGGCCAUUCAGCAGUGAUAAUGGAGAUAAUGAAAGUACGGUGACCAACUAGCAGAACUGAUUUAAUCUCACUGGGCAGUCUGGACUUUACUCCUCAGCUGCUACAGGAUGGAGAUGAACAAUUGCUAUUCCAGGUAAGUCUUGAAUAUUAGCAUACAGAUAGAUCAUCCCAUGGUGGCGGUGGGGAGCAGGGAGCUUGGAAAAGCAGUGGGAACUACAUUCUUUAGCAUUGAAUUUUUGUGCCUGUCUGUGUUGUUUAAAAACAGAUAACUGCUGUCUCCUCAUCAAACAUGUUACUCCUACAAUUUUAGCAGCAAUCACCCACUCCAUUCACCUUCAUAAAAUACAACACAGACAUCUGAUGACUGUUGCCAUCACACAUUCAAGUACCCACCUUUCCCCGCUUCCAAGCAAAUUGAGAGGCCUGAAGUUGGGUAGCACCUAACUUCAAAAACAGCCGUUUCUAGACACUUUAAAUAGUCUUGUGUCUUUUGAUGGCCUCCAUAGAGCUCUGUUUUUAAAGUCUGUAUAAAUGGGGGAAGCCUGCAUUUGAUGAGAGUCAUCCUAAAUGAGCAGAAAAUGACAUUAAUAUGUCUUUGUAAUCUGCUGACACAUUGGUUCAAAGUCUGUUCACCAAGGCCAUCUGGAGGUGCUAUCUGUACCUCAGCAAAGACCAAAUGAUGUUUGCUCAGGAUGUGAGAGUAGACGUUCCUCAACUGCUUUGUCAUGCCUUUAGAACUUCAUUGCAUUUGCCCCUUUUGGGGGUUUCUGAUAUAAUAUAAAAGUGGGGGUUUUUUAUAUUAGCAGUUUGAUUUGCCAUUAAAUUUCAAGCUGCUUUUUUAAUCUCUGGAUUUUUAUUUGAAUUUAUAUUGCCUUAUUUAUAUUGCUCAUGGAAAUGAGAGUUUGUACUUUUUGUGUUUUGUUGUUAAUGUUUUAUUUUUGUGAGCUUCCUUAAAAAAUUAGGGGAAAGGUAAGAGAUUAAAAGUUUAAAUAAAUAAAUCUCCACUGAUUUCUUUAAUAGGGGAGUGCAAAUGGAUUGCUAUGCUUAGUCUCUGAAAGCAGUCAAUAUUUUAUUUUGGAUGGAACACUGAGACUACUGUUUGGUAAUUUCUGGGUAAUCUGGAACUGCCAUCUUUUAACUUCAGUUAGUUAUUCAAGGAUUCCACUUCAUUGUAGAAUGAAUGUGGUUAGUCACCACUUUAACUCAUUGUUAUGGAAUCAUGGAAGUUGUAGCUUUAAAAGGUCCUUAUCCUUCUUUACCCAACAGGGCUGGUGACUUAGAACUACUAUUCCCAGUACUCAAUAGUGUUGAGCCAUGAUAGUUAAAGUGGUGGCAAACUGCAUUCAUUCUGCAAUGUGGAUGCAGAUUUACUCUCUUUCUUGCAGACACACAUAGGGCACAUCUACAUGGACACUAUAUUGAUAUGGUCGCUUUAGUGGAUGGUCUCCAUCUUAACAUUGAGAGGAUGUGUGUGUGUCCCAGUUAGUGCUUCUAGGCUUUUUGACCAAGGUAUCCUUCUGGAACACCUGUGGGGUUUGGGAAUCAGAGGCACUGUGUUCCAGUGGUUCCAGUUGUAUCUCUCUGACAGGUUCCAGAUGGUGUUAUGUAGCAUUCCACAAGGUAUCAUUCUAUCCCCAAUGUUGUUUAAGAUUUACAUGUAAUCACUGGGAGAGAUCAUUUAGAGGCAUGGAGCAGGGUGUUAUCAAUACGCUGAUGACACCCAAAUAUAUUUCUCCAUGCCUUCAAAAAUAGCCUCAGCUAAGGAUAGCAUGUCUCCUCUGAAUGAAUGCCUGAAGGAGCUAAUGGGUUGGAUGAGGAGAAACAAAUAGAAACCGAAUCCAGACAAAACAGGUGUUUGCCAUCAUGGGUCCUAAACUAGGGAUGGAGGUGUAUCAAUCAGUCCUGGUUGGGGAUACACUCCCCCAAAAGACUGUGUUGUAGAUUAUGAGUGCUAAUGGAUGAUUGUCUCCAAAUGUCAGCCCAGAUAGAUGUAAUGUUCAUGACUGCUUACUACCAGCUUUGGCUGAUACACUAGCUGUGUCCCUUCCUGGAACUAAAGGACCUUAAUGUUGAAGCCUAGUCUGAGGAGGAGGAGGACUCUUUGAUAGGGCCUUGUGGUCCUGAAUAGGAGCUCACUACUUCUGUAGUGCCUCAGGAAGAAAGUAAUUCUUCCCUGAGUGAUGGGAAUUGCCUUACAGAGAGAUCUGUUCCUAGUGAGAAUGUUUCACAUGAGAGUCUACCAGAAACUUUCCUUGACCUUGAGAGGAAUUUGAGGGAGGUGGAAGACACUGAUUUUUGCCUAUAAUUCAGCAGCUUCAAUUAUUACACGAUAGUGCCAAGCAAAGGAAAAUAUGGUUUUCUCAGCAUUUGAAAACUAAACAGAGGGAUUCCAGGUGUCAGGCAGAUAGUGUCUUCAUGAAAAAAUAAGGUUUUUUAAACUGUCUUCUUUGUUUGCUCUGUGUGAGUGCAACUUUGGAUCAGGAGAAAGUCACCUUUUCUUUUCUUUGUAUUUUUGAAAUAGCUUUUUCCUAUAGAACACUCAUUUCUUUAAUAAACUUUAAAUUAGUUGAUUGAUUACUUUUUGACUGAGCUAUAUUUGGACAAAUUAAUUCUUCAUUUUGGGUGAAAAGGUGUCACAUAGGUGGCUGGGCUGCAACACUUAAGAUGGUAGUGCAUGCACUGGUAACAUCAAGGUUAGACUUCUGUAAUGCACUUUACAUUGAAAUACCUCUGUACCAAGUAUGGAAACUUCAAUUAGUUGAAACACAGCAGCCAGAGUAGUUGCAGGAACAUCUAGUAGUGAGCAUAUUACUUCCAUAUUAAAGUCACUCCACUGGUUGCCAGUUGGUUUCAAGGCAAAGUACAAGGUGUUGAUUUUGACCUUUAAAGCCCUAUAUGGUUUGGGUUCAGGUUACCAACAGGGUUGCCUUCUCUUGUACAAUCUAUCCCAGGUCCUUCUGGGUCUCCUGGCAUCUACUCCAUCAACAUCCACCCAAACCCGACUGCUGACUGUCACCCAGAGGACACUUUCAUCAGCUCUCUCAAGAUUGUGGGAUGAUCUGCCAAAAAGAGCUGAUAUCUAAAUUAGCUGUCAGUAUUUAAGACACAAUUAAAAACUCAUCUCUUCUGGCAGGCGUCCUAAGUCAAUUUUUAACUGUGAAUUUUAAAAUCAUGUCCAGUUUUUAAUGUAUUUUAAUCUUUGUUCUGUGUAUUUUAAUAUAUGUAUUUCACAGAAAUUUGUUUUAAUAUAUUCUAUGUAUUUUACAUACUGUUUUAUGAUAAUGUGUUUUUAAGUAUGUUGUGUCCUGCCUUGAGCUGUGAGGAGUGGUGGAUUAUUAUUAUUAUUAUUAUUAUUAUUAAUAAUAAUAAUAAUAAUAAUAAUAAUAAUAAUAAUAAUAAUAAAUAACAACCUCAAAUGGUCAAGAAUUGCCUAUGUGGCAUUUGCAUGACAAACAGAGCCAACUGACCCCCAACAUAAAGCAAAGUCACUCAACAUGAUUGUGUCCUGCAUUAGGAAAAGCUGGAGAACUGUUGGGAUUUUCCAAAGCUCCAGAACAGCCCUAUACUUCAGGGUAAUGUGAACAGUGGGACAAUGCAGCCAUCCCACUAUUCCAUAGUGGGCGAUGGGGGGGGUGGUAUUUACUCUUCACCAUAGCUGUGGCACUGGCUACAGAGCUCCAAAGAGCACCUAGCAAACCCUGGGCAUUCUGAUGUAAGCAGAGGCACCCAUGUGAAUUGGAGAGGGGAAGGAGAUUACUCUCCUUCUUGCUCCGCUUCCUUCUUUGUGUUCCAUUGACACCUUUGUUUGCACCACCAAUGGUGCCCAUGGAUGUCCAGGAACUCUUUGGAGGUCAUUGGGUGCAGCUUUGGCAAUGAUAACAUAACACAGGUAAGGGUGGUCAUCCAAUAGUACCAAACCAGAUCAAGGCUAGACCCCAUGGGAGUUGUAGUUUUAAAUGUUUUUAGCCUUCAGGGAAAAAUAGUACUAGUGUUUCUUUUGUGAGUCCAUAGCAGUUAAAUGCUUUCAAACUGUAUUAACUUUACAGUGUAGAGACAUCCAGGGUCACAGUCUGUUGCAGAAAUUGAUUGACAAAGUAGUAAUGCUAUGCCACUGUCACCACCAUGAUUUCAAAGUGGUACCAUAAGGUUAUUAUACAUUGCAAUAUAUUGGAAGUUUUGCUGGACUGAUCUAAUAUUGAAGGACUCCAACACAGUUUAUUUUUUUAAUAAAUCAUAACGUAUGUGGAUUAAAAAAAUGGUAGACAGUACAUUGUUAAUAAGAGGAAAGACCUUUUCAUCACUGGUAGUGGUGGCAGACUAGAUCUGGACCUUCUUUCCAAUUAGUCAUGAGUUUUCCCCUUUCUGUUAUUUGUCUUAAAGAUUAAAUCCCAUUCGUUUCACCCUCUUUUACA
ensembl:lncRNA